CCCCGAGUUUCUGGCCGUGGCUGAGUACAGCGUGUCCCCGGGCGCAGACCUCAAGGGCCUUCUCCAGCGGCUGGAGACAGUAUCGGGUGAUGAAACAGGAAGACUGAAGUCCAGGCCUGGCCGGCCCACGGCCAUAUUUAGGCCAACAGACCAUCCCUCCUUCCACAGAGGAGAAGCGCAUCUACCGGGUGCCUGUGUUCACAGCACCCUUCUGCCAGGCCUUGCUGGAAGAGCUGGAGCACUUCGAGCAGUCGGACAUGCCUAAGGGGAGGCCCAACACCAUGAACAACUAUGGGGUGCUGCUGCACGAGCUUGGGCUGGACGAGCCGCUGAUGACACCACUGCGGGAGCGCUUCCUGCAGCCACUGAUGGCC
rnacentral:sRNA from 1 species